AUUAGGCUGGCUCACUGGGUAGAGCAUGGGACUCUGAAUCUCAGGGUUGUAGGUUCAAGCCCCAUGUUGGUUG
rnacentral:tRNA from 1 species